AUUGAACGCUGGCGGCAGGCCUAACACAUGCAAGUCGAGCGGGGGAAGGUAGCUUGCUACUGGACCUAGCGGCGGACGGGUGAGUAAUGCUUAGGAAUCUGCCUAUUAGUGGGGGACAACAUCUCGAAAGGGAUGCUAAUACCGCAUACGUCCUACGGGAGAAAGCAGGGGAUCUUCGGACCUUGCGCUAAUAGAUGAACCUAAGUCGGAUUAGCUAGUUGGUGGGGUAAAGGCCUACCAAGGCGACGAUCUGUAGCGGGCCUGAGAGGAUGAUCCGCCACACUGGGACUGAGACACGGCCCAGACUCCUACGGGAGGCAGCAGUGGGGAAGAUUGGACAAUGGGGGGAACCCUGAUCCAGCCAUGCCGCGUGUGUGAAGAAGGCCUUAUGGUUGUAAAGCACUUUAAGCGAGGAGGAGGCUACUUUAGUUAAUACCUAGAGAUAGUGGACGUUACUCGCAGAAUAAGCACCGGCUAACUCCGUGCCAGCCGCCGCCGUAA
rnacentral:rRNA from 1 species